rnacentral:tRNA from 1 species
AAAAAAAUAAGCUAAAUUUAAGCUAAUGAACUCAUACUUCACAUAUAAAGAUUCCCUCUUUUUUUUU